rnacentral:rRNA from 1 species
UUAAGUGAAUAAGGGCGCACGGUGGAUGCCUUGGCACUAGGAGCCGAUGAAGGACGGGACUAACACCGAUAUGCUUUGGGGAGCUGUACGUAAGCUAUGAUCCAGAGAUUUCCGAAUGGGGGAACCCAGCAUCUUUAAUAGGAUGUUACGAUUGUGUGAAUACAUAGCACAUUCGAGGUAGACGCAGAGAACUGAAACAUCUAAGUACCUGCAGGAAAAGAAAGAAAAUUCGAUUCCCUGAGUAGCGGCGAGCGAAACGGGAAAAGCCCAAACCAACAAGCUUGCUUGUUGGGGUUGUAGGACUCCAAUAUGGUCGUUCUUUCAGAUAGUCGAAUGACUUGGAAAAGUCAGUCAAAGAGGGUAAAAACCCCGUAGACAAAAUGUGGAAGACACCUAGGAGGAUCCUGAGUACGGCGGAACACGAGAAAUUCCGUCGGAAUCCGGGAGGACCAUCUCCCAAGGCUAAAUACUCCCUAGUGACCGAUAGUGAACCAGUACCGUGAGGGAAAGGUGAAAAGCACCCCGGAAGGGGAGUGAAAUAGAACCUGAAACCGUGUGCCUACAACAAGUCAAAGCCCGUUAAUGGGUGAUGGCGUGCCUUUUGUAGAAUGAACCGGCGAGUUACGAUUGCAUGCGAGGUUAAGUUGAAGAGACGGAGCCGCAGCGAAAGCGAGUCUGAAUAGGGCGUUUGAGUAUGUAGUCGUAGACCCGAAACCAUGUGAUCUACCCAUGUCCAGGUUGAAGGUGCGGUAAAACGCACUGGAGGACCGAACCCACGUACGUUGAAAAGUGCGGGGAUGAGGUGUGGGUAGCGGAGAAAUUCCAAACGAACUUGGAGAUAGCUGGUUCUCUCCGAAAUAGCUUUAGGGCUAGCCUCGGAAUUGAGAAUGAUGGAGGUAGAGCACUGUUUGGACUAGGGGCCCAUCUCGGGUUACCGAAUUCAGAUAAACUCCGAAUGCCAUUCAUUCAUAUCCGGGAGUCAGACUGUGAGUGAUAAGAUCCAUAGUCGAAAGGGAAACAGCCCAGACCACCAGCUAAGGUCCCAAAAUAUAUGUUAAGUGGAAAAGGAUGUGGGGUUGCACAGACAACUAGGAUGUUGGCUUAGAAGCAGCCACCAUUUAAAGAGUGCGUAAUAGCUCACUAGUCGAGUGACCCUGCGCCGAAAAUGUACCGGGGCUAAACAUAUUACCGAAGCUGUGGAGUACACCUUUAGGUGUAUUGGUAGGAGAGCGUUCUAAGGGCGUCGAAGGCAGAUCGUGAGGACUGCUGGAGCGCUUAGAAGUGAGAAUGCCGGUAUGAGUAGCGAAAGACAGGUGAGAAUCCUGUCCACCGAAUGACUAAGGUUUCCUGGGGAAGGCUCGUCCGCCCAGGGUUAGUCGGGACCUAAGCCGAGGCCGAUAGGCGUAGGCGAUGGAUAACAGGUUGAUAUUCCUGUACCCGUUGUUUUUGUUUGAGCAAUGGAGGGACGCAGGAGGCUAAGGAAUGCAGACGAUCGGAAAUGUCUGUCCAAGCAGUAAGUCUGAAGAGGAGUCAAAUGCUUCUUUUCUUAAGGACAAGCUGUGAUGGGGAGGGAAAUAAUAGUACCGAAGUUCCUGAUGUCACACUGCCGAGAAAAGCUUCUAGUGAGAAAACAGCGGCCCGUACCGCAAACCGACACAGGUAGUCGAGGAGAGAAUCCUAAGGUGAGCGAGAGAACUCUCGUUAAGGAACUCGGCAAAAUGACCCCGUAACUUCGGGAGAAGGGGUGCUGAUCAUACGAUCAGCCGCAGUGAAUAGGCCCAAGCGACUGUUUAUCAAAAACACAGGUCUCUGCAAAAUCGUAAGAUGAAGUAUAGGGGCUGACGCCUGCCCGGUGCUGGAAGGUUAAGAGGAGUGCUUAGCGCAAGCGAAGGUACGAAUUGAAGCCCCAGUAAACGGCGGCCGUAACUAUAACGGUCCUAAGGUAGCGAAAUUCCUUGUCGGG